CCUACGGGAGGCUGCAGUGGGGAAUAUUGCACAAUGGGGGAAACCCUGAUGCAGCAACGCCGCGUGAGUGAAGAAGUAUCUCGGUAUGUAAAGCUUCAUUAGUAGGGAAGAAGAAAGACGGUACCUGACUAAGAAGCCCCGGCUAACUACGUGCCCGCAGCCUCGGUAAUACGUAGGGGGCAAGCGUUAUCCGGAUUUACUGGGUGUAAAGGGAGCGUAUACGGCUGUGCAAGGCUGAAGGGAAAGCCUGUGGGUGAACCGCGGAACUGCUUUGGAAACUGUAUGGCUUGAGUACUGGAGAGGCAGGCGGAAUUCGUAGUGUAGCGGUGAAAUGCGUAGAUAUUAGGAGGAACGCCAGUGGCGAAGGCGGCCUGCUGGACAGAAACUGACGUUGAGGCUCGAAAGCGUGGGGAGCAAACAGGAUUAGAUACCCCUGUAGUC
rnacentral:rRNA from 1 species